UGAUAUACCAGUCAUGGUGCACUGGCUGGAACGAGAAAUAGCUUAAUGGGCCCACCUACGAGGAUUGAUCUCACACCGACCACACAUCGAGUGAAUGCUGUACCACUGGGCUACAUCCCGCCCCAAAUCUCAAACCAGUGCACAUUAUUUUUCUAUUGCAGAAUUAAACUUUACUAUUAGACUAAAUGUAUAGCACAUUCUACUUAUCAAAUUCCCCCUUCCCCUUCCCCUCUAUGUAUAGAAAUAAUUCCUAUUUAAUCUACUGUGUCCACAGUAAGCGUAUUUGAACCCUCAGCAUCUAAGCACCAAACAACAAACCAAUAAAUGAAUGUUUAACAAUACAAACAAAGGGAAAAAAGCUAAACAGGUAUCAAACAAUGGGAUAUGAAUCAAUGAUUAGGAAAACUCAAUAGAUAGAGAUGGGAAUAUUAACUUUUUGGAUAGUAAAAUGUGCAUUGUUAAAUAUUCUAAUACAUGCCUUGGGCACUGCCUAACCCAAGUUCAGGACUCAUAAGGUAAUUAACAAAAUAUCAACAUCCAGAAUAAUUGGUAACAUGUUAUUAAUAAAUUACAUUUAGUCACAGUAGUUGGGGAAUUUAAUUGGGGCAUUUAA